GUUCUGAUAGAUAAUAUUGUUAAUAAAAUACAGAGGCAAAAUAAAUAGGUAAAAACUGUUUUAAGCUUCAUAAAUCCAGAGUAGGUUGGAAAGAUUCAUUCAUGUUUGUUUGUUUUUUGUUCGUUUGUUUUUGUCUUAAAAUUUGGCUUUGUAUUUUAAUUGCUGUUUAAAAAUUCUGGUACCCAGGCUACACUUCAGCCCUAUCAAAUUAGAAUCUUCUGAGGUCUGACUCUAGGCACCAGUGCCUUUAAAACUCUCCAAAUGAACUGCUCAGUUAAGUAAACCAGGUUGUGUGGGAUGAUCGGAUGGUGAUGAGAAUAUAAAACUGGUAUUCUGGUAAUUUAAGGGAUCAGUGGGUCUGAUAUUCUAACAAAUGGGGUCUGGUUUUUAGAAAUCAGAGUUGUAAAGUAUGCAUAGUUCUGUAUUAAUAGGCAUAGGUACCUUCUUUUUCCAUAUAAAUGAAAAAAAAAUUUUUUGGCAGUGUCUCAGUAGGUAACUGGCCUUGACUAGUGGUCCUGCUGACUCCUCCUCAUUCGCUCGUUCCAUCCACCCAAGUGUGUUUAGUCUGGAUAUUACAGUGCCCUUUGAAAUAGAUAAUCUUUUGGCAGCCUCUCACAUUAAAACACCAAAACACAUUACUCACAUCCUUAUCUAAAAUGAGUGUCUACACUGUGUUCGUAUAUACAACACAGAUACUUAAGUGUUAAUAAAAAGACCAUGUUUGUUUAUGAUGAAAUUAUUGUUCCUGUUUUUUAAUGUUGUUGUUUGCUACGCUCUCUGGUCGAGUCAACUGGACAAGCCGAAAGGCUUAAAAGUCACUCACACAGGGACCCAAAAGGUCUGCGGCAGUUGUUGUUUUUUGAGGCAGGGUUUCUGUCCUAGAAUUCAUUGUAGAGCAGGCUGGCCUUGAACUCAGAGAUCCACCUGCCUCUGUCUCCCAAGUAACUGGGAUUAAAGGUAUUUGCCACCACUGCCUGGCUUUAAAACUUUUUAGUACUACUUUUUAGUAGUUUUUAUUUCUCAGCAAAUUUGAACAAGAAUUCUUCCAAAUUCCUGUCUCCACAUAUAGCCUCCUACUAUCAAAAACCUAAGUGAAAGUAUACUUUUUUCUUUUUUUAAAAAAAUGAUAAACCUACAUUGACCUUCUGCUAUUACCUGAAGUCCUUUGUACUGUUAGGGUUUACUUAGUUUUUCUAAGUUUUGUGAAUUUUGACAAAUGUGUCACGUAAAUUCAUGUUUGUUAGUGUUCAUGGCCAGCUAUCAUUCCUUUGAGGCUGGGACUUUAGUCUUUAAUAUAAAUGUUCUCUCAUCAUUUCCUAAAGUCAGAAUUUUAAGUACCUAUUAUUAUAUUCAUCCAAAAUUAGGUGAUGCCAGUAUUUAAUAGAUCAGCUUUCUGAUUGUGUCCUACAUUUAUUUCUACCCAGUAUAUGUAAUGGGGCUAAAAGGAAAAUGGUUACUCUUUAAAUUCUGCUUAAGCCAAGUAGGGUGGUGACCAGCUAUAAUCCACCAUUCAAGAGGCUAAGACAGUAGUUUAAUUCAAGGCUGGGUCCAAUAGCAAAUUCAAGGCUAGUCUAAGCCAUCAAAUGAGACCAUGUCUCACAAACUGGCCUUUCUAUGUAGUUUGGUGUGAUGAUGCUCUGUAGUCACUCAGAGCCCUCAGGAGGCUGAUGCAGAGUGAUAGAAAGUUAGAACAGCAUGGGAUACACAAUGACACACUCUCAAAAACAACCAGGAAACUAAAGUAUACAUUCUAUUUGGUCUGGUUUUCCUAAAGCUGAUAUACAGUAGGUGGAGAUACAUCCUUCUCAAGAAUCAUGGAUAUAUAGAAAAUGCAUUUGUUUUUUAACGCUUUUUUAAAAAGUGGAUUCAGUGGAGAAAGAAUAGUCAGAAGAGAAGGAGAUGAAGAAAUGUAGGUUACAAACUAGAAGGGUUUUAUUAUUAAGUAGAAUGGGGUUAAAAAAUUGUGCAGAAUCAUAUAGGUAUAAAAAGUGAAUGGUGUCAUUUAAAGAAUUUUAGUGUCUGCAGUUAUUUUUGAUAAGGAGGCAUUCUUUGCAUCUUUAUAGGUAGCCACUAAAUGAUACAAUGAGUCGUGUUUUUAGAAAGAACAUGUAGAAAAAUGGUAGAACAUUCAUUAGAUUGUGUUUUCCAGUUUUGUUUUUUGGUGGUGCUGAGUAUCAAAGCCAACCAAGGCCUCAUACAUGCUAGGCAAGUGUUCUGUUUCUGAGCUAGAUCCCAAGGCUAGCUCUGUUCAUCAUAGGACAUCUUGAUGUAUAUUCCCCAACAUUGAUUGUCAGUUGUUUUAUUCAGAAAGUAUUUUUGUACCUGUUAUACAGUGUUGGGGACAUAUUAGUGAAUGAAGUCUCUUCCUUCAUGAAAUAAACUCUUCCUUGAGUAGCCAGAUCAUUAGGUGGUUUGUAACUAAGAACAAUAGGAAUAAUAAUAAAGCAUGCAGGAGAUGAAGACUGAAUGGGGGUUGGCUGGAAAAGCCACUGUAGACAGUAUAGUUAAGAGCAGCGUGAGAAGGCAUCCUCUUUAAUAUGGGUCCUGAAAAAUGAAGAUUUUAGAACUGUUAGUUUUGUUAGAGGCUCAAACCAAGACAAUCCAGCUCAAGGAUGGAGUUUGUGUAGGGCCAAAUCUUAAACCAGAAUCUGGUGAGACUACUCUUCUAUAGAUAUUAGUAUCUGUUUACAGUGCACAUAUUUGGAGUAUGCUUACAUUAUGUGAAAAGUUUUUUUUUAACUGCAGGACAACUUAGAACUAUUAAUAUAUCCUAUAUAGGGCACAUAUGCCCUAUCUAUCUAUCUAUCUAUCUAUCUAUCUAUCUAUCUAUCUAUCUAUCAGACAGGGUCUCAUUGUAGCCCAGUUUGACUCCAGCUGGAGGAUGGCCUUGAACUUCUGCACUCCCACCUUCACCUUCCAGAUAUUAGUAUUAAUAGGAAUUCAUCACCACAUCUGGGUUCAUGCAGUGUUGGAAAUUGAACCCAGGCUUUAUGUAUGCUAGGCAAACACUCUACAUCCUACAUCCUUAGCCUGCAUACCCCAAACUUAAUACAAGACUCCUUUGCUCCCAGUGGCAUACAGUGCAUUUAGUCCCUGGCAGACACUAAGGUCUUUAUAAGACUUGCCCAAAAGUGCACAUAGAUUCUGUGCAUCCUUUGUGUAGUUUUCU
rnacentral:lncRNA from 1 species